UACGAGGGGGGCAAGCGUUGUUCGGAAUUAUUGGGCGUAAAGGGUGCGUAGGCGGUUUGGUAAGUCUUAUGUGAAAUCUACAGGCUCAACUUGUAGUCUGCAUGAGAAACUGCCGGGCUUGAGUAUGGGAGAGGUGAGUGGAAUUCCUGGUGUAGCGGUGAAAUGCGCAGAUAUCAGGAAGAACACCCGUGGCGAAGGCGGCUCUCUGGGACGGUACUGACGCUGAGACGCGAAAGCGUGGGGAGCGAACAGG
rnacentral:rRNA from 1 species